AGUCGNACGGNNNGNCCUUCGGGGUACUCGAGUGGCGAACGGGUGAGUAACACGUGGGUGAUCUGCCCUGCACUUUGGGAUAAGCCUGGGAAACUGGGUCUAAUACCGAAUAGGACCACGCGCUUCAUGGUGUGUGGUGGAAAGCUUUUGCGGUGUGGGAUGGGCCCGCGGCCUAUCANCUUGUUGGUGGGGUAAUGGCCUACCAAGGCGACGACGGGUAGCCGGCCUGAGAGGGUGACCGGCCACACUGGGACUGAGAUACGGCCCAGACUCCUACGGGAGGCAGCAGUGGGGAAUAUUGCACAAUGGGCGCAAGCCUGAUGCAGCGACGCCGCGUGAGGGAUGACGGCCUUCGGGUUGUAAACCUCUUUCAAUAGGGACGAAGCGCAAGUGACGGUACCUAUAGAAGAAGCACCGGCCAACUACGUGCCAGCANNNNNGGUAAUACGUAGGGUGCGAGCGUUGUCCGGAAUUACUGGGCGUAAAGAGCUCGUAGGUGGUUUGUCGCGUUGUUCGUGAAAACUCACAGCUUAACUGUGGGCGUGCGGGCGAUACNGGCAGACUANAGUACUGCAGGGGAGACUGGAAUUCCUGGUGUAGCGGUGGAAUGCGCAGAUAUCAGGAGGAACACCGGUGGCGAAGGCGGGUCUCUGGGCAGUAACUGACGCUGAGGANCGAANGCGUGGGGAGCGAACAGGAUUANAUACCCUGGUAGUCCACGCCGUANCGGUGGGUACUANGUGUGGGUUCCUUCCUUGGGAUCCGUGCCGUANCUAACGCAUUNAGUACCCCGCCUGGGGANUACGGCCGCAAGGCUAAANUNNNGGAAUUGACGGGGGCCCGCACAAGCNGCNGNANCAUGUGGANUAAUUCGAUGCAACGCGAANAACCUUAUCNGGGUUUGACAUGCACAGGACNCCGGCANAGAUGUCGNUNCCUUGUGGNCNGUGUGC
rnacentral:rRNA from 1 species